CCCGGCUGCACGCCAGUACAUGCGGGUACAUAAGAGAAAGACAGGGAGAAAGGAGGUAUCUGCGACGUGGAUUGCCAGCCAUGGAAUGUAUCAUCGUUCUUGUACAAUGCCUGAUUGGGGAGGGAUGGUGCCAUUCAUUUGAAGGUGUCCUUAUAUCAGGGAUUACACUUUCUUUGAUAUCUUGCUUCGGCAUUUACUACCUGGAGGAUUUGCAAUCUAAAAAGAUGCUAAAAACAAGCUGCUCAGCCAUUUGUCUGCUUUCAUGUUAUGUACUGAAAGCUUCAAAUUAUGUACAUACCUUUGCAACAAGCAAAAAC